rnacentral:rRNA from 1 species
CCUACGGGAGGCAGCAGUGAGGAAUAUUGGUCAAUGGACGAGAGUCUGAACCAGCCAAGUAGCGUGAAGGAUGACUGCCCUAUGGGUUGUAAACUUCUUUUAUAUGGGAAUAAAGUGUUCCACGUGUGGGCUUUUGUAUGUACCAUAUGAAUAAGGAUCGGCUAACUCCGUGCCAGCAGCCGCGGUAAUACGGAGGAUCCGAGCGUUAUCCGGAUUUAUUGGGUUUAAAGGGAGCGUAGGUGGGUUGUUAAGUCAGUUGUGAAAGUUUGCGGCUCAACCGUAAAAUUGCAGUUGAAACUGGCAGUCUUGAGUACAGUAGAGGUAGGCGGAAUUCGUGGUGUAGCGGUGAAAUGCUUAGAUAUCACGAAGAACUCCGAUUGCGAAGGCAGCUCACUGGACUGCAACUGACACUGAGGCUCGAAAGUGUGGGUAUCAAACAGGAUUAGAUACCCGGGUAGUC